GAGAAGAACGUAGCGAAAUGCGAUAAGUAAUGUGAAUUGCAGAAUUCAGUGAAUCAUCGAAUCUUUGAACGCACAUUGCGCCCGCCAGUAUUCUGGCGGGCAUGCCUGUUCGAGCGUCAUUUCAACCAUCAAGCCCCCGGCUUGUGUUGGGGACCUGCGGCUGCCGCAGGCCCUGAAAACCAGUGGCGGGCUCGCUAGUCACUCCGAGCGUAGUAGUUACAUCUCGCUCAGGGCGUGCUGCGGGUUCCGGCCGUUAAAAGCCUUAUUUACCCAAGGUUGACCUCGGAUCAGGUAGGAAGACCCGCUGAACUUAAGCAUAUCAAUAAGCGGAGGA
rnacentral:misc_RNA from 1 species